rnacentral:tRNA from 1 species
GAAGAUAUGUCAGAGUGGUUUAUUGUAUCUGACUUGAAAUCAGAUUUAGAUUUCUAUCACAGGUUCGAAUCCUGUUAUCUUCU